UGGGGAAUAUUGGACAAUGGGGGCAACCCUGAUCCAGCAAUGCCGCGUGUGUGAAGAAGGUCUUCGGAUUGUAAAGCACUUUCGACGGGGACGAUGAUGACGGUACCCGUAGAAGAAGCCCCGGCUAACUUCGUGCCAGCAGCCGCGGUAAUACGAAGGGGGCUAGCGUUGCUCGGAAUGACUGGGCGUAAAGGGCGUGUAGGCGGUUUGUACAGUCAGAUGUGAAAUCCCCGGGCUUAACCUGGGAGCUGCAUUUGAUACGUGCAGACUAGAGUGUGAGAGAGGGUUGUGGAAUUCCCAGUGUAGAGGUGAAAUUCGUAGAUAUUGGGAAGAACACCGGUGGCGAAGGCGGCAACCCUGGCUC
rnacentral:rRNA from 1 species